rnacentral:rRNA from 1 species
AGAGUUUGAUCAUGGCUCAGAUUGAACGCUGGCGGAAUGCUUUACACAUGCAAGUCGAACGGCAGGCACGGGGCAACCUGGUGGCGAGUGGCGAACGGGUGAGUAAUACAUCGGAACGUGCCCAAUCGUGGGGGAUAACGUAGCGAAAGUUACGCUAAUACCGCAUACGAUCUACGGAUGAAAGCGGGGGAUCGCAAGACCUCGCGCGAAUGGAGCGGCCGAUGUCAGAUUAGGUAGUUGGUGGGGUAAAGGCUCACCAAGCCAACGAUCUGUAGCUGGUCUGAGAGGACGACCAGCCACACUGGAACUGAGACACGGUCCAGACUCCUACGGGAGGCAGCAGUGGGGAAUUUUUGGACAAUGGGCGCAAGCCUGAUCCAGCCAUUCCGCGUGCAGGAUGAAGGCCUUCGGGUUGUAAACUGCUUUUGUACGGAACGAAACGGUCUGCCCUAAUACGGUGGGCUAAUGACGGUACCGUAAGAAUAAGCACCGGCUAACUACGUG